rnacentral:rRNA from 1 species
UCGAGAAUAUUUAGCAAUGGACGAAAGUCUGACUAUGCGACGCCGCGUGAGGGAUGAAGGUCUUCGGAUUGUAAACCUCUGUCACCAGGGAGGAAUACCAAGGGUCUAAUAGGCCCGAGGGAUGACAGUACCUGGAGAGGAAGCCACGGCUAACUCCGUGCCAGCAGCCGCGGUAAUACGGAGGUGGCAAGCGUUGUUCGGAUUGACUGGGUGUAAAGGGUGUGUAGGUGUUCCGAUAAGUCAAGCGUGAAAUACUUUGGCUCAACCAAAGAAUUGCGCUUGAUACUGCCGGAAUUGAGUGAAGGAGAGGAGAAUGGAAUUCCCGGUGUAAGGGUGAAAUCUGUAGAGAUCGGGAAGAACACCAGUGGCGAAAGCGAUUCUCUGGCCUUUUACUGACACUGAAACACGAAAGCUAGGGGAGCAAACAGG